GACGAACGCUGGCGGCGUGCUUAACACAUGCAAGUGGAGCGACGAACCGGGGCUUGCCCCGGGGCAGAGCCGCGAACGGGUGAGUAACACGUGGGUUACCUGCCCUGAUGACCGGGACAACCCGUCGAAAGACAGGCUAAUACCGGAUGUGCCCGCAAGGGGAAAGGAGGCGUAAGCUUCCGCAUCGGGAUGGGCCCGCGGAGCAUUAGCUUGUUGGUGAGGUAAAAGCUCACCAAGGCUUCGAGCUUAGCUGGUCUGAGAGGGCGAUCAGCCACACUGGGACUGAGACACGGCCCAGACUCCUACGGGAGGCAGCAGUGGGGAAUCUUGCGCAAUGCGCGAAAGCGUGACGCAGCAACGCCGCGUGCGGG
rnacentral:rRNA from 1 species